CUGAAAGUGAUGAGUUUGUUUUACCGCCCCAGUCUGAAAAAUCAUGACUGAUUGGUAUUUUCUGAUUUCUU